GUUAUUUACCUAUAGCGCACGAAUUGGCGCGUGGCAGGCCUUUGAAUUUAUGUUCUUUGUUUUUGGCUGCCCUUAAUAGAGGUAUGGCUUUUUUUCAAGCUCAAUUGAAGAAUGGUGCAUCUCCCACUGGCAGUGGACCUCUUUGGUUCACUCAACUAUGGUUGAGAUCCUAUUUUCCAUCGCUUGGUACUCCAUCCAUUUCUCGUCCUUCUGCUAGCUGUUAUGGGCUAGCUAUGGAGCCUUUAACUCCUGUAAAUAUGUCCAGAAGGGACAUUUUUUCAUUCUUUUAUUCUUUAGAUUCAACCUCUUCCUUCUUUCCUUUUCCUCCUUUUUUAACUCCAAACUAUGUACAUCCUCCUUCCACUAUAGAUAGCGCGAGCACCUCCCUGCUCAUUUGGAUCCAAUUCUUAACUGGGAGGGAGCUUUUCCAUGAUAUCUUAACUGGGACCAAUGCCAAAGCAGGGGUAGAAAUUUAUGCUCCCCAAUUUUUUGCUCGGCAGCUUGGUUUCAGCCAAACUUGGCCUUUUCCUCUUUGCUAUUCGAAGAACUUAAUUGACCGUUUUCAUACCAUUAAUAAGGCGGAAGCAGAGGCUAUAAACGCUCGCAACCUACAUUUAUCAAGCCACUUUUCAUUAGCCACUUUUAAUUCUUGUCAUGCUACUCACCCUCUUUUUGAACAACUCUGGCCAUCGGUGAAGUGCAGAUUAUUUGCGACUGAGGCCAAUCGUGCUUUUCAUUCAUUAGACCAACCGAGUAUUUCUUCUCCUCCUCCUAUUUUGGUCACUCAUUUGUCUAUUCGGAGCCCCUCUCCUUCUCGUCGUACUAAACAAUCUACUCGUCCAUCUUCUUCUCUCCCCGCUAGGCCUACUACGGCCAAGAGUGCUCCAAGCUCAAACGGCCAGCCUCAGCAUCUCCCAUUCUGGAGGAUGAUGUUGAUGAUGAUGAUGAUGAUGCCCCUCUUAUUGUCAGCAAGAAGGUAAUUAAAUCGGUCUAUUUACAAGCAUGCUUUUCCACAUUUGAAACUUUUUUGUAUACUGAUGAUCUUUUGGACUUUUCAGAAAAGUUCAGCCUUCCCUUCAAAGGCUUUGGCGUCGACAACUCCUGCUCCAUCAUCCUCUGCUGAGGCUACUUCAUCAAAAUCGGUUGGUGAUGGGACCAUGCUUAAAGAUACAUCUUCAGUCCCAGAGUCUUCAUCACAACCCCUGGAUGAGCCACCUUCUUCCCAGGGUGUCGACCCCCCAAUCAUCGAAGCAGAAGGUAAUUCAGUUUUUGAUGUCUUACCUUUGCUCGUGCUAUUGGUUUCUAAUUUGUUGCCCUUGAACUUUGCAGAUACUCCUAUGAGUCCGCCCGUUGUGGCAACAUCUUCUCGCUCGGACAAGGGGAAUUCCUCACGAAUGGAUGAGUCGUUGGUGGCCAGCUUGGCUGAGGGCACACCAUCUUCUACGAUUGUCGACGAGGUAGUUUUUCUUUUUGCUCCAUUUCUAUUUCCACCUUGUUCGUUGUAGUGAGGAUUUUUAAUAUUGGCAAUCUUCUUUGCAGGAUGCUAACAGGAUUGUGCGUUCUAUCCAGGAUUUGUUCGCUUCCUGGAGGCAGGUCCAAAUGCCUCGCCCUGUUCCAUCUGAUUGUCCUGCUGCUUUUUCAGAAGAGGAUUUGAAGUUCUUGAAGGAGUUGGUAUUUGAGUACGUAUCCUUCAUGGAUAUGAACAUUGGAAGGACUAGUGCUGCCAGACACAAGGAUGAACUUGAGCGCUUAAGUGCGAAGUUAGAGCAAGCACUGAUGCUUCCGUCGCUCAAUCUUUCUGUCGAUUUUAAAGCGACGUUGAAGGUCAUUCACUCCGAGGUCCUUACUAUGCUGGCCAAGAAUGCUAAACUAAAGGCCAAGCGUACUCAAUAUCUUCGAGCCGUAGCUGAGAAAGAGUCUUUGCGCAUGGAGAUCAACAAGGCUAAGGACGAAUUGAAAGAAAUCUCUUCUGAAGUCAUGAUUGAAGACUCCUUGAUGGUUAACUUGGCUGCUUAGAUGAGGGAACUUCAAGCCAAAAUGGACGAUUGUAGGGCGAGGAUGGCUGCCAAAAAGCGCAACGCCUUUCAGGGAAUUGAGCGAACUAGAUCCUUGGUCGAACAGUACAAGAAGUUGGAGGUUGAUGAUGAUGACGUUGCGGCUGAAUUGAACAUCACUUCCUCCCGAUAGAACAAGGAUUGGAAAAAACUUAGGGAACGAAUUCGUUCCUUGUGGGGUAGAAUGUAAUUAAGACAUACGAUGUCUUUUCUCUUUUGUAAUUUUGUUCAUUAUUAACGAACAUUAACUUCUUGUGCAUUUAUUUGACGUUUAUUUUCUAAUCAUCAAUUCUUUAAUUACUUAACUGCUUUGCACUAAGAAUCUUGUCCAUUCCCAUUUGAUAUUCCCACUACUGUUCCCAAGACUUAGGGCCAUUUAAUUCCGUCUAUUAGACAGAAAUGUGGCUGUUCAUAUUCUGUCUCUUCAUCUUCACCCCCUAUAAAUAUUUCGCAUUUUUCAUCCUCUAUCUUCAUCUCUUCAUUUUCUUAUUCGAAACCAAUUUGCUGCCAUUUCUUGGCAUUCUGACGAUCAAUCUGAUCCAAAAAUGGACUGUUUAGUCCGUCCGCCUUAUAUUUACUUUGAUGUCACCUUUGGUAUGGGAGGUAUAGGAAAUAUUUUCUGGCCCGCAGCGAAGUUUUUUCCUGCAAAAUUCUUCCCAUCGUCUCCUUGUUCUUCACAAGAAGUCAAUGAUGGAAGGCAAUUUUUGGGCUGCUUGUGGGCCAUUUUGCUUGCUGAGAGAGCUUCUCAACUUGCCUGCUGAGAGUGUUUCUCAACUUAUUUGCUCGCCAUUGUAACGAUGCAUUUAGGAAGGUGGUGAGGCCAGUACACCCUCUCACUCAUCAAUCCCACCAUUGCAGCGAUGCAUUUAGGAAGGUGGUGAGGCCAGUACACCCUCUUACUCGUCGAUCCCACCAUUGCAGCGAUGCAUUUAGGAAGGCGGUGUGAAGCUUACUCAGCGAUCGACUGGGAGAUCAUCUUACUUUAGUUGUAUUUUGUAACACGUCCAUUACUUGUAUCUUUUAUAUUCUUGUAAUGAACGUUUGAUAAUAAAGAACUUUAUUCGAACGUAUUUCGCUCUGUCUUUAUUAUCUUUUGAUCGUCCAGAAUGUUUGGUUAUGUUUUUACCUAUUCGCAUUCCCAUAAAGAAGGAACAUAUUUUUUCAAAUAUUUGCCGUUAAUGAAUCUUACGUGCUUGGUGCCGUCUAAAUCUCCCAAGUGGUACGCUCCAUUAGGCAACACACUGUUUAUUUUGUAUGGUCCUUCUCAGUUGGGCAACCACUUCCCGUACUUUGGAUCCUUGGUAUCCAAAGGGAGUAUCGUCUUCCAAACUAGUUCACCCAGGCUGAACGACUUGGCUAUGACUUUUUUAUUAUAAAAUUUAGCCAUUCUUUGUUUUUGAACUUGCAACCUAUCUAAGACGUCCAACUUCAAUUCAUCUAGACUAAAUAGAUUUUGAACUAGUGAUUCAGCAUACUCAUCGUCAUUCAACUUAUGUUGCAAGCACACUCGAAUUGAUUGCACGUUGAUUUUCAUAGGCAAAACGGCCUCCUGUCCAUAAAUAAGUUGGAAAGGAGUAACUUUGGUACUUGACCGAGGUGAUGUUCUAUAAGCCCAUAAGGCCUUGUUCAAAUAUUCGUGCCAAUUUCUGGCAUUUUCAUCUAUCAUCUUUCUGAUGAUGUUUUUUAGAAUCUUAUUAGAAGAUUCUGCUUGUCCGUUGGAUUGAGCGUAGUACGGUGUGGAGUUUACUAAUUUAACCCCAAACUCGCUCAAAAAUUUGUUCACUUGAUCCCCAUUCAAAGAUGUUUCGUGAUCUACCAUUAAAGUUUGUGGAAUUUCAAACCUAUAAAUAAUGUGAUCACGAACAAACUCUAUAACAUUCUUCUGGGUGAUCUCUUUUAAAGGUACCGCUUCUACCCAUUUGGUGAAAUAGUCGGUUGCAACUAUAACAAAAGUAUGUUGCUUGGAUGAUGGAGGGUAGAUCUUCCCUAUUAGAUCUAUCGCCCAACCUUUGAACGGCCAAGGUUUAAUAAUAGGUGUCAUCUCUCGUGCUGGUGCCCUUUGUAUUGGACCAUGCUUUUGGCAUGCUAAACAACUUUUUGCAUACUGAACGCAUAGUUCUCCCAUCUUUGGCCAAAAAUAUCCACUCCUAAUAAUUAACCAUCUCAUCCUUUGGCCAGCUUGAUGAGCUCCACAUAUCCCUUCGUGCACUUCAGCCAUGAUCGUCUUGGCUUCUUGCAAACUUACACACUUUAGUAAUACACCAUCAGAGCGUUUCUUAAAUAACUCUUCGUCUAUUAGUGUGUAAUUCAGCGAACAUAACUUUAUGUUCCUACUAAUCCCUUCAUUAGGUUCUUGAAGGAACCCUUUAAUCUCUGUUCGUCAAUCCACUGCAUCUCCAUCUUGUAUACAGUGAAGUUCAAUUUUUCUCGCCCUUCUUUGAGUUACGGGCAAUAUGAUUCCAUAUUCACAAGUAGACUUCCAAUCCAAGACUUUUGAGUACCCUGAAGCCAUUUGGGCUAACUCAUUCGCCACGUCAUUAUAUAUCCUAUUAACGCAUUGAAGUUCUACUUGAUCGAAUUCCUCUAAUAAUUCUUGGGCGAUCUCAUAUUGACUUAUAAUGGAAUCACUUUGGCAUUUAAAAUCACCAAUCAAUUGAUGUAUCACCAAUUGAGAAUCGCCCUUAACGAUCACGUUUCUUACUCUCAUAUCUAUCAUUAGUUCUACGCCUACAAUCAAGGCUUCGUAUUCGGCCUGAUUGUUGGUGCACAUUCUGUCUAAGGUGAAUGCAAACUUGUAGCAAAUCCCUAAAGGAUUAAUUAAUGCUACUCCUACUCCUGCACCUUUAGAGGUCUUUGACCCAUCGAAAUACAAUACACAAGGUUUUAAUCCGAACGAAUUGAUUUCUAAUUCGAUUUCUUCAGGCAUGUCAAGGCAUGGAUGAUCGGCUAGAAAGCUAGUCAAAGCCUGAUUUUUGACUGCCUUUUGAGGUAUAUAUUGUAUUUCGAACUCUGAUAAAGCUAGUGUCCAAAGGCCUACCCUUUGGUGUAAAAUAGGGCGCGAGAACAUAUAUUUGACCAAAUUUACUUUAGAAAUUAAAUAAACGGUUACGGGCCGUAAAUAAGCCCUUAAUUUUGUACAUGUGAAAUACAGUGCUAGACACAAUUUUUCAACAGCAGAGUAAUUACAUUCACAUUUCGUUAACCGUCUACCUAAAUAAUAAAUUGCCCUUUCUUCACCAAAUUGGUCUUCCUGUGUGACCAUUCCAGCUAUUGAUUCUUUUUCAGUCAAUACAUACACUUUCAUUGGCCGUCCCUGGAUUGGUGACACCAACACCGGUGGACUUGAUAGAUAUGUCUUUAGGCUUUCAAAAGCCUUUUGAUGUUCUUCUUUCCAGACGAAUUCGUCCUGAUUUUUCAGCUUUAAUAGCGACGAAAAAACUUUAGUUCGCCCUGCACAGUUAGAAAUAAAGCGUCUUAAAAAUUUAUUUGGCCUAGAAACCUUUGCAACUCCUUUUUAUUGCUAGGUGGUUUGGCUUCUAAGAUGGCCUUCGCUUUAUUUUUAUCAAGUUCAAUCCCUCUCUUGUGUACUAAAAAACCAAGAAAGUUCCCUGCAUUAACACCAAAUGCACACUUCAAGGGAUUCAACUUUAGCUUAUAUUGCCUCAUUCGUUCAAACGAACAUUUUAACUGUUCGAAAUGGUCUUUUUCUUUAAUAAAUUUGACUAUUAUGUCGUCUACAUACACCUCAACAAACUUGCCUAUCAUGUCGUGAAAAAUUAAAUUCAUUGCCCUUUGAUAAGUUGCCCCUGCAUUUUUUAGGCCGAAAGGCAUAACCACCCAUUCAAAACAUCCUAGAGAUCCAAGACAUCUAAAGGCAGUUUUGUGUACGUCUUCUUCAGUUAUAUAGAUUUGAUUGUAUCCUGAAUACCCAUCCAUGAAAUACAUGACAUGUCCGGCAGUUGAAUCCACUAAAGAAUCCACCGUGGGCAUUGGAUACUCAUCUUUGGGUGUAGCUAUGUUUAAAUUUCUAAAAUCUAUACACACCCUUAGUUUACCAUUCUUUUUUAGUACUGGCACAAUAUUCGACAACCAUUCAACAUAUCUGGCUAUUCUUAUAAAACCUGCUUUCAAUAAUCGCUCUAUCUCUUUCUUAAUUUCAGGGAGUACAUUAGGAGCAAAACGCCUAGGAGGUUGCCUAUGAGGUUUAAAAUUAGGCUUAGUUGGUAAUCUAUGUUCCACUAAGUCUCUAUCUAAACCAGGCAUUUGUUCAUAUUCCCAAGCAAAACAAUCUUUGUACUCUUUUAACAAAGCGAUUAAUUUGUUACUAACCUCUUGGUCGAGCAUCUGGCUAAUGAACGCUGGGUGAUCCUCUCCUUCAUCGCCAAUAUUUACUUUGAUCCGAGGGUCUUGAGCUUGAGCGUAUCCAGGUUUGGCAAUCCACAUCACUUCGUCGUCCAGUUCUUUUGUAAGUACUUCCUCUUCCAAACAGUCCACCUUGUUGACUUCUCGGCCAAGGCUUUGCUCUAACUCAAAUACUGCCAACUUGUCCUUCAGCGUUUUUAGGGCAGUCUCUUCCUUUGCUUUGUCAUUGCAUUCCUUGUUGAAAGCCAUCAGUCUGGCUUUGAAGGCCUGAAUGUCGGCCAUUUGCUUUCGCAAUUUAAAGUCCAUUCAAGACUCUUUAAUUAUCCUUUUGCCAAUCACUGGCUCUUCCAGGGCCACUAUAUUUGGCCGCAUUUGUUUGAAUAUUUCAAUGAGUGCAUCCACUGAGAAUGGUUCUUCGCUUUGUGCGACGACCUGAGUUUCUUCCCCGUCUUGCACUACUCUGACAGGUCCAUAGUUUCCUUCGUACAUGAACUUCUCCACCGAGUUUGCUUCUGCGACAAAAGGCCUAUGAUCGGCCUGUACCACCUCUGCUUCGCCUUUGUCAUUCCGAAAAAUAGGCAUUGAUGGAGCAACGAGGGUAUACAGCGACUUUCGUGUAUCCAAUCCCUUCCUAGGAGCACGUUGUAACUAGUAGGACCAUCUAUCACAAAGAAGACAGUAGUCCUGGUAGUUGUACAUAUAGUUAUGUCCAAUGGCAUAACUCCCUUAGCUGAAGUUGCUCCUCCAUUGAAGCUAGUGAGGAUGACUUCUGUAGGAAUCAUAUCACCCUCUGUCUUUGCGAAUUUUCUCAUCAUCCUGGAUGGAAUGGUGUUUAUAGCUGCUCCAUUGUCGACAAGCACUUUUGCCACUGGGACGUCGUUAACUAGAGCUUUAACGUAUAAUGGCCUCAGGUGUUUUGUCAACUUCAUGGCUGGCCGUUUAAAAACAACCUUUUCGACAGCCUCUAUUUCUACCUCUUGCUUGUUUUCUAUCGACUUAUCCCCUUGUGAUAGGUCGACGUGCAGUAUGUCACGCUGAUCCUCUGCCUCCUGAAUUUCCUUCUUACUUUUUUCUAAUGCUUCCUCAUCAGUUAUCCAACCUGUGGGAGGAGGCAUUAUUCUUGGAGGUGACCCAUACUUCUCAGAGCGAGGCACUCUCUUCUUCCUUUUGGGUGUCCCGUACAGUACGUAGAAAUCGAAAGGACGCCCAGAUGGCUCCCCCAAUAAGUCUACUUCGCGAACUCCAUCUUGAUGUAGUUGCUUAAAUAGAGUAUUGCGUGAUACUCCUCUUUUUUUCCUUUCUGCUUCUAGGUCGAUUUCUUCUUCAAUGUCUAUCAUCCCAUCGUCCUCUUCAUCGUUGUAGGCCUCUCCAGAAGUCUGGCCUUUUCACAUACCAGCACACAGGCUUCUCCUUCGUUGUCCUCCCUCACUUCUUCCUUUUCCUUAUUCUUGGAUUCAUUGGCCAGUAGGUAGUUAUUGGCCACAACAUGAGGCAAUGUACCGAAUUGGAUAGCAAGGGGCUGAUCUGGAUCUUCCUCAUCCCUCUUGUCCCUCUCAAACCUUGAUCUCCCAGAAGAGGUUUCUGGCAGUUCUUUCAUUGAUUCAUCUGUACCGGUUUCUUUACUACCUUUGAGGACGUUUUGAUUGGCUACUUUGAGUAGUAUAGGCGCCUUAGGGUGUGGCAUUCCUUAUUGCUGCCUCAUCAUCCGUCUGCAGUUUCAUUGGAAACGCCUUUGUUGGGUCCUAGUCAUCUCAUCGAAGGGUAUUGCCCUUCCUGCAGUGUACUGGAAUGAAUGCCAUACAUUUGGCCGGCGAGGUUGCGGCCUAAAUGUUCUUCCAGCUCUAUAGAAUGAUGUACCUCGCCCUCUACCAGGCUGAACGUUUGGGAAGAAAACAGGGCGAUGAGGAUGCUGCCAUGUCUCUGGUUUCUCCGUGUUUCCAUUUACUUCCCUUUUACAUCUUGCACAUAGGACGUCUUCGUCCUUUUUUGGUUCUUUUCCUUUGAUUCGUUCAAAGACGCUGGGAUGUGGUCUAGGAUCUUCUUCUCCAUCAUCUAUGACUAACUUGAAUUUUGGUAACUUGUUCUUGAAUCCAAAUGUUACCAUGUUUACUCCAAGUGGCUGUGGGAAAGGAUUCUCGUCCACUGCCAUCUUUUUCUUAUCGUCGAACGUAAUUCGUCCUGAUUCAAUAGCAUCCUGCAAUACGUGAUGAAAAACCAAGCAAUUGUUAGUCAAAUGUGACCAUGCAUUAUGCCACUUACAAUAUUUUUUACCCUUUAUUUGUUCAGGGUUUGGUAAUUUGUGCUUAUCGCUCAGCUUUAUUUGCUUAUCCCUAUAUAAUUUAUCGAAUAUAAGGUCAGCUUUGGUCACAUCGAACAAGAACGUUCUAGCCUUUAUGUUUCCAUCCUUUAUGGGCUCAUCUUUGCCCGAUGGUCUAGGCUUAGCCAUUAUGGGACAAGUAUAUGUAUCCCCUUUUACCAAUUCGGCCAAACACAUUUCGACCUGAUCGUAUGAUUCGUCUUCGAUGGUAUGAACGUCAAAAUUUGGAUCUCUAUAAUAAGUCCCUUUACUAGAAUUUUUCAUUUAUUCUUCUUCUCUUAUCAGUCGCUCAUACCUAAUCACAUUCGCACUCAACUGGAAAAGGUCGGGAAAUUCCUUGUCCUGGAACUUCUUUUUUAAAUCAAAGCUCAAGCAGCCUUGUGCGAUCUUGACAAAUUCUUUUUCGGGCAGAGGUACAAAACACUUGCUUCUUGCUGUUUUGAACCUUUGGAGAAAACUUUCUGUCCAUUCAUUUAGCAUUUGACGUAGAUUCGCCAAAUCAGCCAAAGUGACUUCAGAUUCAGUUUUAUAAAACUGAGCAUGAAACAACUGUUCCAGUUGUUGCCAUGUUUGAACAGAGUUCGCUGGCAAGUUGAUGAACCAGGAGAAAGCUACUCCUGUUAACGAACUAGGGAAAAGUCUCAUUUUAUGGUAAUCGGUUACAUCAGCACUUUGCAACGUGAAUUGCCCUAUGUGUUCUAGAGUAGACAUCUCUCCUAAACCAGUAAACAGUGAGAAUUCUGGCACUUUGAACCCUCUAGGCUAUGGAUAUGCUUGGUCUACCCAAUCAGGAUAUGGCUUUGUGUACGUUGGCCUAAUGACAGGACGCACCCCAAAGGCCAUCUAAUCGUGCACGAUUUUCAUAAUCUGAUUCCUCAACAUGACAUUGGGAUCAUAUGGAAUUCCUACAGGCUGAUUAACCGGUUGAUUUGCAUGAGGUUUGAUGUUUGGUCCUUGAUUGGCAACAAAAUUACUAUAAUUAGGGCCAUUACCAUUAGCCUGGACAUCUACCCCCUCGUUACCACGUGGAAUAUUCUGUCCAUUGUUUAGGACAUUAUCUCUUAUGUUUGGAUUACUCCCCAAGUUAGGCAUACCACUCCCACUACUUUGAUUUGGUACUGUAGUACCCCCUUGGUUUGAAGUAGAGGGACCAGAAAGUGGUUCUACCCCUUNUCACUGUCCCACUGGGCGUGCCAAAUUGUUUUCGCGCGGGUUCGUCGCUAACAAUUACAAAGGAUCAGACGAUUGUGUAAGGGACAAAACCUCUUGAGACAAAGUCCCAAAAAGGGGUGUUCUUUUAUUGGCGAUGACUUUACAAUUGGAAACGAAAAACAACGUGCCUCCAAGGGGCGCAAGCACACGAGUUACUGAAAGGAAAGUGUUUAAGUCUAAAAGCUAAAGAAAUGAAAAUUACAUAUUCUCUGUUCGAGAGUUUUGGAUUCGGUCCUUGCUUUUAUGUCCUUUCUCCCUUUUAUACUUCAUAGGCGAUCCCUUUGUGAUUAACUGCUCUAAAAACUGCUUGAUCGCCCUAUAACUACCCACUUUCUUUGUAGUGGCCAUUUUGUUAUGAAACUGCCUUUUAACUGCUGCCAUUAUCUUGCAUCGUUCAACCGCUUUCGAUUGAAUUCCUUGAGUCAUGGAACGUGAUAGGGCUACUUUAACAACUGCCUUGAUAACUGCAUUUCUUGAUAACCACAAUGCGUCAUGUUUGUUGAUACCUUGGGCGACUUGAAGGUUUGGGCGAGAAUAGAAUAACAGCUCUGGGCGACCGUAUGACACUCCAUUCGUUCAGAUUCUUAGCGACUUGCAAAUUUGGGCGAUGGCGUUACCGCACUCUUGGACCCCUUAUUUGGACCUUCACCUUGAUUCGUUCAAUUGGAUUUCGUUCUUUGGGCUAUCUGAUUUGGGGAUCCUCCAAUUGGGCUUUACUCUUUGGGCUAUUCGAUUUGGACUGAAUUUUUUAUGUGUCAACAGUGUGUAUAUAUAUAUAACUCACCAAAUAAAGUCUUAUAUUUUGUAAAUUAUGUUAUGAAAAAUUAAUUUAUUUAUGACAUAAUGAGAUAGAUAUAAAUUAUUGUAUCACGUAAGUCGUUGAAUUCUUGUUACUCAUCGUAUUUUAAUCGAUCCAUUGGACUGAGAAACUCACCAAUACAUAUCGUUUUCUUUAUUGGCAUCCGUGUUAGAGCCAUAAAUGUCCAUAAAUAUGAAUUAAACAUUGUGGUCACAUUACUUAUUAAGUUUGUAUAGGAAAAGUUACAGUCGUUCUAUUUUUAAAAAAGUUAACAAGAUAAUAAUUAGUUUGUACGCUAUAAUGGAUAUUACAUUUUCAAAGUUUUAUUCAGACUGCAACAAAGAAAUUCGAUUAAGAUCUUACUGAAAGUUUAGUGAGUGUGGAUGAAAUUUUCCCUUAUCUCGAACACUGUUGGAAGUCUGUAUAACUUCCUCAAAAAAAUGGACAAAACCCACCUUUAUGAAAAAAAAAAAAAAAAAAAAAAAAAAAAAAAAAGAAAAAAAAAAGGUGUAUUAAUCGAAGGCAAACAAAGUGGUACAACUAUUGAGAGAAGAGUGAUAAAAUUGCACAUGGGAUGGGGACAAUCUCACAUGAAUCAAACAUGGGACUUCUUUUAUUUUGCUUCCUCAACGUAUAACAUGUCCUAUGUGUACUUAUUGGAGGAGAAUCUAUUGCAGGAGAGAAUCCAUUGAUGAAUAUUAGAAAGUAUUAUCCUUAAUCUUCGCCUCCAAAUACAGAUUCAUAUUCAGUUUAGUCUAUUCUGUUCUUAUUUAUAAUACAAACUAGAUUAGGUUCUUAUUUAUUUUGUAUUUAUCAUGUAAAUAGUUUAGACUUAUCUUAAUGUUUAUCACAUACUGCAUUUUGUGUAUAAAUACACUACCACUGUAUUCAUUAACAAGAUUGAGAGAUUCCUUUCUUGGUGUCAGUGCUCCAUAGUUCACACCUUUUCUUUUUCCAAUGGCUGAUUCUAGCACUACUUAUAGUCAGUGGCGGAUCCACAUGGAGUCAUGUGGGUUCAAAUGACCCCACAAAAUUUUUGUUUUUCCCCCCUUUCAGAAAAUAGUUGUUUUAACCGUUUUACGAUCUACUUUAAUACAUGUCAAAUGAAGUCAAAACAUUUCAUUCUUAAUAUCAUUUCAAAGCGCUCAUGGCCUAAUUUUUUGCUUCUUAACGGCAUGCGAAAUAAUCAACCAUAGCAAAAGUUACAAUGAAUCAAAGUAAGCGUUCCAAAUUUUCGAUAAUAUGCAACUUUUAAAAAUUGUCAAUGAUUGUAUAUUAUCCGAAUCCACAAAUUGCAUGAGUCAUCUAGAAGCUCAUUCCACGAACUAUAUCGAAUUAUAUCGAAUGGUCCAAACAGAUUUUAAAAAUAAUUAAACAUGCGUCAAAUGUACAUACUAAAAAAGGCGUUUAACACCUUUUUUUCUUUUAAAAAAAUUCCAAUAGUUCAUUAACAUUUAUUAUUUUUGUACAAUAUAAUUUACAUCAUUUUAUCAGAAUGAAAAAAGAUGUCAAAAAUCCUAAACUCGUUGCUGAUUAAAUGUAAUUUGAAUUAUUUUCAAAUUAUUUUUUUCAUUAAACUUAAAUUUAACUUUCUUCCUAAAUUAAAUGUGAAUUUUAUUUCAAUUCAUUUACUUCCUACGUACAAUUUGAUUUAUUCGCCGUUAAUUCAGCAUCCAUAAAUGAUAUGAUAAACAAAACUAUACAUGUUGCAAAAUUCAUUUAACAAUAUUGAUAAUGAUAUAAUUAUAAGACAUUUUCAAUGUGUCAAAAUACGUAUUAACUUAUUUUCAUUAAUACUAUAUUGUUUUAAAAAAUUACACAUUAAUUUUUGACCCCAAAACCCGAAAAGGUUGGGUCUGCUCCUACUUCUAGUAUGUUUCCGCUCAAUACGAUGGUCCAUAUGGUGGCCAUCAAACUCACUACAUCCAAUUUUAUUUGGUGGCGCAGUCAAUUUGUUCCCCUUCUUGAAAGCCAAGAUCUUGUGGGCUUCUUAGACGGAUCAUUCAUUGCACCUUCUCCUCUCAUUAUCAAAGGUAUUGUAGGUUCCAAAUCCGGCCUACAAGAAAUGGCAUACUCAAGAUCGUUUGUUGCUCAGCCUCAUUUAUGCUUCCUUGUCCGAGGAGUGUAUGGCCGAGGUUGUCAAUUGUGCAACUGCCAGCGACGCUUGGUUGACCCUUGAAACAUUGUAUUCUAGAAGCUCCAAGACAAGUGAAAUUCAACUGGAAGACGAACUUCAAUUGCACCCGCAUGGUUCUCGUAGUGUGGUUGAAUAUGCUCGCUCUUUUUGCUCUCUCUGUGAUCAACUCAUUGCCAUUGGAAAGUUAGCGGAUGAUACAGACAAGGUGCAUUGGUUUCUUUGUGGUCCUUGCCAUGAUUAUAAAAAGUUUUCCACUAUGUUGUCACAAAAUCUAUUGCCUUCCUUCGCCAACAUGGUCUCGUAAGUACUUAGCGAUGCGGUCUCCCUCAAUCCAUUUAUGGCCCAGAAAUACUAUUUGCCUACAAUGAUAUAGGUUUGUUGUAUGAAACCAAGAUAUUUUUAUUAUGGAAUUUUGAAAUGAAAGAUUUUGAUGACACCUCUUUUAUGUCAGGGAUACAAAUACACUGAGAUCGUUCUUAGGGUAUUUUUGGACUAUCACAAUAGAGCUAUAUCAAUAAAAUUCUUAAAGGAUUAGGGAUAUAUGUAUGUAAACCAGGUGAUACCCCUAUUACUAAGGGAGUUAAGUCUUGUCUCAAUUAAUGCCCUAAAGAUAAACUUAAAGAAAGAAAAACACAGAAAAUUCACUAUGCUUCAACAUUUGGGAGUUUAAUGUAUGCUAAGGUUUGCAUACGUCUGAAUAUUGCAUUUAUUGUUUGAAUGCAAUGCAGAUAUUUAAAUAACUCCGAGAUGGAUAUUUGGAAAGCAACCGAUUAAGAUAUUCGGUACUUACAAAGAACUAAGGAUCACAUGAUCACAUUCAGGAAAAUCAGACCAAUUGGAAAUCAAUGAAUAUUCUAAUUCUGAUCAUGAAAUAUGAUUGCGAAAUUUUGUCAUUGAGCUUCACAUUUUGGAUGGAUGUGAAAGAGCACUUUAGUUAUUUUGUGACGAUAACAAUCUCGUAUUCCAACAUGAACUUGACGGUGUCAAAGUUUAUGGACAUCAAGAUUCUAUUAAUUGAGGAAAUACUUCAAAGUGUUCAGGCUUUUAUAGAAUAUAUUAGGACAAAUUCUAUAAUUGUGAAUCCGCUUACUAAGGGGCUAUCACCCAAGGUCCUUCAUGAGCAUACUGCUACAUGGGUGUUACAUCUUUUGAUGAUAUGUCAAUUUAGUAAGAGUUUGUAUUCAGAUGUUAUUUGUUUUAGACACAUAAUUCUAUUCAUGGAUUUCAGUUUAUUUUAGAAUAAAGUAUUCAGUUCAUUUUAGAAUAAAGUAUUUAGUUCAGUUCCAUUCUGAUUCAAAUUUAUGGUUGAUCUCAUUAAAGAAAAAGGUAAGACCAAUUGAAAAUAGACAUAUUUAGAUCACAUUAAUUUUCAUGCUACACAUCCACACUUGAUCUAGGUCAUUUGAUUGUGUUGACAUAUGUGUCCAUUAUGGAUUAGUUAUGAUAUUUGUAACGAAAACUGCUUUGAUCCUAUAUUGAUAUAUUGAUAGAUGAGAUUGUUUGAAGAUACUUUUAGUUAUGAUAGCAAAAUUUUUAACGUCAUAAGGCUAUACACAUUUGUCAAGUAACAUAUGUGGCCAACGUGAGAAAUUCUUAGAAAAAAUUAAAAUUUUCAUGUGGAUCUGCAUAUGUAAUUAAUUGUGUAUAAUGCUAUCUUAAAGUUAAAUACAAAAUAAAAGUGAUCUAAUCAAGAAUUAAAUUAUUAGGUUUAGGACAUCUAAAUAAAGUGGGGAUCGAAUUAUAUGCGUAGAGACUAAAUUCAUUUAGAAUUGUAUUUCAUAAGGGACGAAAUACAUAUGGAAAAUAUAUAUAGGAUUAUGGUUCCCAAUUCAUAUUUAAUUUCCCAUUCUCUGUGUCAUCCCAUCAAUACAAGAAUACAAGAAAAAGCAUAUUUAAGAGGACGAUCCAAGAAAAACCCACAAUCAAGAAUCAAAAUAAAUGAUUUCAAGAAUUAAGACUAUGUAUCAAGAAGCAAAACUAAGAACUCAAGAAUCAAAUAGUCAAUAUUAAAUAUUCAAGAUCUGAAAUCAAGAUCUAGUAAUAAAUAAUCAUUCACAAAGAAUUAAGAUAUGUUCCACAUUAUUAAUUUUCUUGGUGAUUUGACAUGGAGAAUUUCGACAAUAAAGAAAUUUAGAUUUUCAAAUUCUAAAGUUUAUAGUUUUAUAAAGUUUCAACAACACUUUCUUAUUUUACGAUAUUUUAGCAUUGUCAGCAGAGGCGAGCUAUGACACAUUGCUAUAUUCCUAGAAAUAGGAAUAGGGUGACCAUAACCUUGCAUAUUUCAUUGUUCUCUCCCUGGUGAAUGUUCAUUAGACUGAUUAUGUACCUAUAUUUAUUUCGUUAUAUAUUUGUGCUUAUAUAAGCUAAUAAAAUAGUUAUCUUUGGAUGUAAAAAAAAGAGUUAAGCCCCUGUUUGGUACUCAUUUUUGGAGCCAAAAAUACAUUUUUUCCGUCACAUCAGCACACAAUUUUUGACUUCUACACUCUAAUGGGGGACUCGCGAUAUGAUGUUUAAAAUGCAUUUUCAUCUAAAAAAUGUGCACCAAACGGACUCUAAAUUUCAUUAAGUAUUUGACAUUCAACUGCGAGGUCUCAAAGGCAUCGCAAGUCCAUUUUUAGUUGGAACUGUCCAAAGGACUCAAUCAACUACUGUAAUUCAAGUUCCAAUGCUCAAAAGUUCAAUCUUGGUCUAGUUUUUAUCCAUUGAUAUUGAGUCAUUCCACUAAAAGCACAAUAUUGUACUUUCGAGUUAUAAAAAUUAUUAUAGAAGUCUAAAUAAUAUUGUUUAUUUCACUAAAGUAAUGAGACGAACAAGUUGAUGUUCUAUCUUCAUUUAAGGUUUGAGUUGGAGUCAUAAAAUGACUAUAUUCUUAUAUUUUACCUUAUGUCACAUUUUUCUCUUAUUUUUUUAACUUCCAUACGUUAAUUUAGCAAACUAUUUAUAAGCCCCUACUUGGUACAAAUUAUUUAAAAAUUAGUCUUCUACAAAUUUAUUUUUAAAUACAGUCUCUCAUAAAAUAAUUUUGCAUUUGAACACAACGCUUCAUUAUUAUUAUUAUUAUUAUUAUUAUUAUUAUUAUUAUUAUUAUUAUUAUUUUGAGAAAAUUGCAACCAGGAAAUUAGACCUUUAAAAAAUUCACACUUGGAGUCCAAUCUAACAGAUUCUGUUAGUUCGUCCUUUAGUUAACCAAAGUCAGCUAUUUGACCAAAAUUUGAUUAAUUUUUAAAGGUUAAAAUGGUAAAUUCAUAUAUUCUAUAGUAAAAUAAAAUAACUAAAAUAAAAAACUUAAAACAAAUACAUUUCAUCUUCUCCUCGUAUUCUACACAUACCCAUCCAAAACCAAAACCAAAACCAAAACCAAAACCAAGAACCACCUAAAGCCACUGCCUCACUCCACCCCCACCACCACUCACCCCUCUGCCCAUGCCGAUCGCCAGUGAUUCAAGCCAUCUAUUCAUUGUUGAUUUUGAGACCUCGAAAACUUAGUCGUAACCUUUAAAUCUAUUUCGAGCACCAUUACCCGACUCUAUGGAGCCAGUCGUCUCCAAGGCUAAACAAAGAGCUUCCCAGUCUCUCUUCGAUGCUUUUUGUGAGUACUAGGGUAGAGAUUAGGGAUAUAGUCACUAACAAUGAUCAUUGCAUUGGAUUUUCUUGAUUGAGAUCGAAAGAGAGGCAUAUAAAUAUCUCCAACUCUAUGCUUUUUGGUAUAUUGUUAUUGCAAUAUUUGUGCUGAUUAGGGAUAGAGAUUAAAGAGAGGCCUAUAAAUUGGCCACUGUAGUUGAAAUAAAACCAGCCCAAGAUAGCCAAUUGCAAAAUCUUGGAAUUGGCAUCGAAAGAGAGGCAAAUAAUGCAAAAGUGUAGGUCAGAGUGGUGGGCAAUAAGGUGAGUGGCAGUGGGUGGUUCCAGUUCUUGGUUUUGGUUUUGGGGGUGGGUGCGUGUAGGGGUGUCAACGAGCCAAGUCGGAUCGAGAGCCAAAAAUCUAAGCUCAGGCUCGGCUUGAGCUUUUUAAGGUCAAGUUUUUUUUUUUUUUUGCCCGAGCUGGGCUGAGCAAAAGCUCGACAAAAAAUUCGAGGCUCAACCUGAGCUUUAAGCUCGGGCCUUACCAAGUCGAGCCUGCUCGAUUUUUUUUUCUUUUUUUUUUCUCUUCCACUUUCAUAAAGGUUGCUGGCACGUUUCCUUUUAAAAAGGCAGGUGCUUUAAUUUUUUAUUUUUAUUUUUUAUUUUCAAGCCGGCCCGCGAGUCACAUUGGCAAGUUCAGGCUCAGCCCGACACCCUAAGGUCACCAAGCCUCGAGCCGGGCCGACUCAAGCUUUUUACAGGCAUGGCUACGGGUUGCUCGAAUAAUAAUAAUAAUAAUAAUAAUAAUAAUAAUAUCCACUUUUUACAAAAUCUACAUCAACUAGAAACUAAAUUACCCAGAUUGAUCCAUUAAACGAAAACUUGCCCUAGUGAACAUUCUUGGUUCCAUCUAAUAUACAUCUUUCCUCAAUACUCUUGAAGAACGAAGAUAUUGGUGACACUAUAAUCUCACUAUUUAAUGACUAAGAGCCUGAGUCACGAAGAUGAAUCCUCAACUGCUCAAGAUUAAGACAGGGAAUCUAAUGUGAUACUUCACCUGCUUCAUUGUUAGUUCAACUUCUCAUCUUGUUGAUUUAGAACUUUCAACUGCCUUAUUUUAAUUUUAUCUAUGCAUGAGUAAUUACAUGUAUUAUUGAAUACUUUAUUUUUAUUGUAGUCCUGCUAAUAAAAAGGCGUUCCCUUCAAAAUAUGUUAAAGCGACUAAUAAUUUGGGUACGUUUUGUAUAAUAAAUUGGAUAAAACCUUGUUUAUUGAAUAUUGCUUAUGGAAUCUGUUCUUUAUAUUAUCAAUUUUUACUUAUAUCAUUGGAAUAUUGUACAAUUCAAAAUCUUCCAUGAAUAAGCACGUAAGAAAAACAUAGAUAUAUAUAUUUUUACACUAUAUGCAUGACGAAUUUUUUCGACUAUAUAAACGUCAAAAAAAUACUUUUACAUAGGAUGAAGUGCAUAAAAUUAUUGAGACUUGAAAUUCCAUCUUAAAAUGUCAAUCUUAUUAAGAGGAGCAGUUCAAAUUCUUAUAUAGUGUUCUAUAUUUCGAUAUCCCUUAACACAAAAUAAACUCAGGUCCUACUGAAAUUAUAAACAAGUUAACAACAAAAGCUGAAAAGAAUAAAAAAUGUCCUUAAAAUGAGAUACACAAUAAUUUUUAUUGGGUUCAUAUGUUUGCUCAUGCUCAUUGGCCACUCACUAGUCAAUAAUUAGUUGCAACGUUACUCCAUCUCAUGUGGAUAGGACAUUUUAACUGACGUAUGGUGAGAGUCACGAGAGAUUUAAAGUAAUGAAUAAUCAUGCCCCAAAAAAUAAAAGCUUUGUGCAAUAAUGCGAUGGGCUAAUUUUAGGACCGUGCUACAUAGUCAUAGAGGAUGACACUUCGAUUGAUAUAGCGCACACACAUGGGGGAGGUCGGGAUUAUUUUAUUCAUGGGGACUCACAUCUCGGUUGUGAGUGCUAUGUCACCCAUUGUGUCAAGGCCUAUGUUCGUUUGGCUUAAUUCCUAAUUUUAUUAAUGUGACGACAAUUUUCUACAUAUAAAUGUAAUAAUUCGUGAAAGAGGACCAUGUGCCUUUAACUAGAAGUAGAAGGUUUUUAUGAACACUUGACCAACAAUCCAUAAAAGAGGAUGAUGUAUCUUAUAAGGGAAUUUAUUUAGUUUGCAACCUAGGUUAUAGAAUAUAUAAUUUUUAUGCUUUUGUUGAUUUAUCACAAAUACUAGAAAAUAAAUGACAAAUACUUAUUGAUUCAUUGCAAUAUCAAAAUGCUUUAUAAAAUAGAGUUUGUUUUAAGUUUUCGAAUAGUCCUCCAAAACUUCUGAAAUUUAUCGAUGGCAAGAUUCCUAUAACUGAUGCCAACAAAAUUUUGAGGUGGCAUGUUCAAGUAGUGAUAAAUCCCAUGUUAGGCACCUGAAAUUAUAUGCACUACAUAUUAAAAGGCCUUUUCGAAAUUAUUGAAAAUGACAUUCGUUGUCAAAGUACUAUGAUUUUUAAGGUUACCAUUUUGAUCAAGUUCUGAUCAAGAUGAAAUAUUGUCCUUGUUGUCUCAACGCGAUCGCUCGAGUUGAGUGCAGGGUGUCGAAAUUUAUCUCUUCCUUUUCCAAAUGUUUGAAAAUAAUCAAAAUUCACUCAAAAUCAUGAAAUUGUACCGAAGAAGAAGUAAUUGAUAGGAAGAAAAUGACGAAAUCUAACAAGAAUUUUGAUCAUUUUAUUAACAUCUAAGCUCUAUUUUGUUGCUUCUUAAUUAAGUGUUAAUUUUUUUAUUAAUAAAAAAUUGAAUCGAAACAAAAGUCGAAAAUCUUCAUUCAAGAGGUAAAACAUGUGGUUAGAUAAUAUGCAAACACUUCAAUAAGUUGAAAUAAUGGGACAUUGCAGGAUAUACACACUUGUUAUUUUUAAACUUGCCUCAUUGAUGUUUUGUGUUUCAAUGAUGUUUCCUUAAUUUUUAUUCUUAACGCAUAUUUAGGAAGAGCUGUUUAUGAUGAUUGGGGUAUAUGUUGCAGGCCACUUGAAAGACUUUCAACGGAGUUGUAUUGGAAUCACUCAUGUUUAAUUUGUCCGAUUAAGUUAGUAAAUUUCGAUUUAAAAAUAUCUUAUGUCGAAAUAUGAAAAAUGAUAUAAGUAUUCAUUCCAGACCGUUGCAUUCUUCAUCACUCACUCAAUGACCAAAAAAAAAAAAAAAGAUUGAGAAAUCUUAACAUCGUUUGUUCAAAAAUAUUAAUGAAAAUGAUAAUGGCUUGCUCUGUAUUUCACUUUAAUUACUUCAUUGUAGGACAAUAUUCUUCACUAACUUCAUUGUUAGCUCAACUCCUCAUGUUGUUGAUUUUAACCAUUCAACUGCUCCAUUUGAAUAUAUAUGAACAUGGUUUAUUUUAUACUUUUUUUUAUUGUAGUCGUUGCUAAUAACGACUAAUAAUUUGGAUAUGUUUUGUACGCUGAAUUAAGAUUAAAGAAGAAGAUAAAAUAAAAUCUCUUAUUGAGUAUUGCACAUCAAGUCUUAUUACACAUCUAACAACUUGCCUUUUUUAAUCUUUCAAUGAAUAUUAAUCAAGUACAUUGAGCUCCAUUUUUUUUUCUCAGAAAAUGCAUUUUGCAAUAGUGUUAUAAUGAAUAAUGUACGGUUAAAAAAUAGAAUUAUUCUACAAGUGCAAGAAAAACUAGACAGAAUUUGUACCCGUGCUGCAUUUGUAACACUUGUAUGACUUCUUUUUGUUUGUGUUUUUGUCAUCUUUCAAUGAUAAUUUGUCAAGUGUCUAUAAAAAAAUAAGGAAAAAUUUUACGUUUAUGUAUAAUAUUAUUUUAUUGAAAAAUAUGUGGUUUAUCACUAUUCAAAAAUGCAUUUUGAUGGGAAAAAAUGGGACUAAAACAAGGGAAGUCUUAUUACAUCAAUUUGAAAUCUUCCAAUGAGUAAACAUGAAAUAUUUGUAUUCGAAUGUUACACAUGACAACAAAUUUAGCUCUCAAUUCUUAUUACAUCUAACAACUUGCCUUUUUUUAAUCAAUGACAGUUCAAAAAUAAUGACAAUUAACUAAUGUCCACCUAAUAGUGAGAUUAAAAUGCUUAAGGUAGGGUUUGGUAGAAUUAGUUUGCACAUUAAUUCAUCCACUAAUAUAUAUAGAUUAAACAACUAAACCAACCAAGAAGAUUAUUCAAGUAGUUAGUGAUAUAUAAUUCAAUAAACUUUUCACAAAAUACUUAUAAUUACCAACUGCAAUUAAAUAUUGUUUCUCUUGCGUGGAAGAAAUCAAGUACAAAUCUUUCAUAAUAAUUUUAAUUAUGUAAUUAUUAUAAUUUUUUUCAAAAAUUUUUAGUAUUUUUAGCCCUACAAUUAUGUAAUUAAAUAUAAGGUCUUUAUAUAUAUAUAUAUAUAUAUAUAUAUAUAUAUAUAUGUAUAUAUAUUUCAUGACAUAAAACUAAUAUAAUUUUUUUUUAUUACUUUUAGCUCAAAACUCUUUUUUUUCUAAAACUUAUUUUCAACCACAUAUUCUCAUAAUAAAAUAUUUUUCACUUAAAUUUUUUUUAAAAAAUCCUACUUGUUAACCACACAUUUCCCAAAGAUUCACCAUUCCAAAACUCAUUUUUUCUACUUUAAUGGUAGAUAUGAUACUGAGCCUUGGUCUUAAAGAUUGUACAAUAAUUAUUAUUUUUGCAUUUAAGGUAUUUUAUCCAUAAAUAUCUUGUAAGAUGGUAACUCAUUUGAAAUUGAAAUCGAUCUGCUCACGAGUUUUAAAUGAAUUAUAUUCCAUUUGCUUGAGUAUUUAGGGUGUUUGAGCCUCUAUAAUUUUGAAAAAUGUAUUAUAAAAUAGUAGAUUGAUGAAAAAUGUGUGGUUAAAAAAGAAAGAAAUUUUUUUGAUUUGCGUGUAAUAUUAUUUUAAUGAAGAACGUGUAGUUGAAAAUGAGUACCGUAGAAAAAAUAAUGUGACGAAAUGUAAAAUAAUUGGUGACAAACAAGGGCUUAAUGCUCUAAUAUGGGUAUUAAGACAGCUGAAAAUACUUUUUCAAGAUGAGGAAAAGGAAAGAAAAGGAAAAAUCAAGAAAAAUUAAAUUUUAUUUACUUUUUCUUGGCUUAUACAAACAAAACCAAAACUGAAGACCCCUUCUUUUUAAUGAAGCUGAAUAUUGUGUUUAUGCUUGCACAAUACAUGUCAUUGGAAUAGGAUAGCCUACCAUAACCCAUGAAAUAUGUCUAAAACCUAAACCUAAUUAAUUAAGGAGUGCGUAAAUUAAUUUAUUUUUUGGCAAUUAAUUAAAUUAACAUUAUAGUUGUGUCACAAGAAUAUAACUAGUACCUAACUCAUUAACGUUUCUAGCUACUAAAUCUAAUUGUCCAUAAAUUUAGAAUUGUGCACAAAGAUGCUUUGGUUUUUAUUUUUUUAAAUUUUUUUGGUUCAGACUAUCACUAAAGUUGAAAGAUAUUUUGCAAUCAGGUUGUGUACAAAGGGAUGCAUAUUAAUUUUGAUUUACAUCUUAGCUCUGUUGGGCCCCAUUAAUUUUGAUUAUAAUGGGAGAAUAGUGUUUUUUUUUCUUUUUUUCUUUUUUGAAAAAUGGAUUGUUGUAAAAAAAUAAAAAAAUUUUGAUUUACGUGUAAUAUUAUUUUAUUUAAUAUAGUGUGAUUGAAAAUAGAAGAUAUAAAAAUUUAAUUUAAUAUGAUGAGAUGUAAUGGAGGCCAAACGGGAGUAGUUUAACACGCAAUAAUCAAUUUAGUUAUUAUUCUCUUGACUUUUAUCAGUAUAUGUCACUUUCUUUUAUUGACUUUUAUUCUCAUAUUUUAUACAGAAACAAAUUUUGAUUUACAUCUUAGUUUGACAAAUGUAUGGACUAUAAAUGAUUAUAUAACUUCUUCUUCUUCCUUUUUAUUAUAUAUAUAUAUAUAUAUAUAUAUAUAUAUAGAUAUAUAUAUAUAUAUAUAUAUUUUUUUUUUCCCCUUUUUAUAUGCAGUGGCUAGUGUAUAGAUUUCUCGUGGCAUCCAACCAAAUUUCUUGGAUGACACUAUGAACUUAGCAACGUACGAUAUAAUCAUGUAAUGAAAGGACAAUUGAGGGCAUUUGGCACCCAAAAUGCAACUGCGGAAAUUAUGUUCUUGUGGCUCCCCCAUACGCUUGGAAUGUCAUGUUAAAGUUUUAUGUCCUCCCUUGAGAAGUAAACCUCUAUUUGGUAUAGUAAAAAAAUCAGAUUUAAUAGGGUCGAAUUAAGGAUCGGACUAAAAAGUUUUUAAGCCAGAUUAAUACGUAAAAAAGAAAAAAGAAAAAAAAAUAACCCGAUGAAAUACUAAAAUGGGCUGAACCUAGCCCAAUCCCCCUAAAUCUGCCACUAAAAUUUUAGUAUAUAUUUUAAUAAAAGUUGAUAAAAUUUGUAGUUGAUAAUUGAUAAAGAUUAUGAGUCUAAUAAAAUAUGUGAUUAAAAUUAAUUAUUGACUUUAACUUAAAUUAUAAUCCACAAUUUAAGCUCUACUGAACAAGAGCAAAGUAUAGAAAAAUUCAAUUAAUCAUACGGUCAUUUCAAGGGUCUCUUUUAUCUCUCCGCUAGAUAAUUGUUACCAUGCCCAAUUAAUAUAGCCCUAGUUUUAAUGUUAGAUACUAGCUUUUUAAUGGAUGAAAUAGGAUACACCUACUACUCAGUGUAGAACAUUUUUGUCCUUCGAACACUAGUAAAAGUUCAAAUUUUCAAAGAAGAUCAUCUCACUUGUAGAUUCAAGCCAGUCGUUUUCCAUCAAAGACUGAACUCACAUGGAGCAUCUGUAUGACCAUAUUGAAUCAUCUAAUCCAGAAGUUCAAUAAUUUUUUCCUGAACUCAAUAAUCUUAUCGAUGUCAACUAUAUAUUCUUCAUAAUAUGAGUGAUUUAUUCUCAAAAGAUUGCCCCUACCCAUUCCCAAUAAAAGCAUUACAAAAUUAUGUUAAAUGAUUGCAAUAUUGUGCAUAUUUUCAAUUUCAAUUGCAAUUGCUUUCACGCCAAGGUUUUUCUAAAUGUAAAAUUAUUGGGAGAUGCUAAACCAUCAAGCAAGGUCAAAAAAUUCAUCAAUAAUCCCAAUGGUACCACCCCCAUUAAAAUUUUAUCGCUUUUCCAACUUCACUCAAUCUCCCAAUUACUAAAUGGACUUCGAUCAUUUUAUGUGAUGAUUCUUACAGCACUUUAAGAUAUACCUUUUAUAGGUUCUUUUCUUGAUUAAAACUCUACCAUCACUCCCAAAAUUGAAACAACAAUUCUAAGUUUCUAGCAACUUCUCCAUACAUUUUGUGGGCCCCCUCCCUUGUGAGGGAGUCUGUACACCUCAACAUACAAUAGACAAACCCUUCUAAUUAUUAUAUUGUUGUAUCGAGAAGUUGCUAGAAACUUAGAAUUGUAGUUUCAAUUUUGGGUCGUUGAGGGCCCCCUAUUGUAAGGGGGUUUUGUACAUCGGUAUAUCAAAAAUAGAAAAACCCUAAUUAGAAACCAUACAAAAUAUGGACAUUUUCAGAUAUAGACUACACAGGGUUCGAUAAAAUAAUAAAUAAACAUAAAAUAUAUAAUUCUCUGUAUUAACAGAUAAAUUUUACAUCAAAUAAUAAUGAAAAUAUAAACCAACAUAUAAUGGAUUGAGUUAUUUCUCUCAAUAAUGUUGACAUUUUAAAAUGGACCAUAAGUCUUAAUAUGAUAUCACAGUCUAUUAAACUUUAACGAACAAUUCAAUCUGAUUAAGAUCCAAAUGAGCAAAUGAAUUUAAAUUUGGUUUACUCCAACAAGCCACCAUCUUUCAAAACAUGUUAAAUGGUACAUCAAGUAAAAAUAUAAAUAUAAAUCAAUAUAUAAGAAUUUGAAUUACUCAUCUUAAGAGCAUCUCCAAGAGAUUCUAUUAUUAAAGAGAAUAUUCUAUCAUUUGAAGAGAAUCUAUAAAUUUAGGGAGUUAAAAUUUUGAAAUAUUAUAACAAACUCUUUAUGUUUGAUACUUAAUUUUACCACUUUUAAAAAAUAUUUAUUAUUUUUCUCUGUCUCUUAUUUUAACUAGCUUUUCUCUAAAUUAUUUUAUUAUUUUCCUAUACUGAAAAUUGAAACACUUUGAAUGCAUUUAAUUAUAGAGAAUGAGUUUGGCUUUCCAAAUUUAAAAAGUCUCUUGAAGCAUGUUUUUAAAGAUUGAUAUGUAAAAUAGAGAGUGUAUCAUGUUUAAAAAGACUUUCGAAAAUGCUUUAACAAUGUUGACUUUUUAAAAUGAAACUCCAAACAUUUAGGGGGUGUUCUCUUUGUGUUUCAGUUUUGUGUUUUGAGUUUUGAAUUCAUUUUGAGUUUUGUAUUUUGAGUUUUUGUUUUGAAAUUCUUGAAAAUGCGUUCUUUUUGUUAGUUUCUCAAAACAAAAAAAAAAUAAUUUUUUUUUUUAAAAUUUUGAGAAUCACCACAACACCAUCUCAAAACACCAAAAAAAAAAAAAAAAAAUUAAUUAUUAUUUUUUUUUUUUUUAAAUUUUUGAAAUACCCCCANNNNNNNNNNNNNNNNNNNNNNNNNNNNNNNNNNNNNNNNNNNNNNNNNNNNNAAAAAUUUUUUUUUUUUUAUUUUUUUUUUUUUUUUAAAACUUUUAAAAACCCCCCCCCCCCCCCCAAAAAAAAAAAAAAAAAAAAAAAGUGUUUCCCGCGUUUUCAAUUUUUUCAAGUUUUACACUGAAAACGCCCAAAACGACAAAAAAGUCGUUUUGUGUUUUCUUCACAAAUUUUUUUCGUUUUCGAAAACGUUUUCGAAAAUUCGUUUUCGAAAACGUUUUCGAAAAUUCGUUUUCGAAAACGGGAAAGAGAACACGUUUUCACCGUUUUGAAAAAUCGAAAACAGAAAACGACCCGAAAACGGUAAAGAGAACAGGGCCUUAGAUAACAUAUUAAACACACUAUUAAAGGUUGAACACUUAUUUAGCCCUUCUUUGAUUCCCAGUUUUUUUAAAAUACGUUUUUUUCUCUUCUUUUCACCACACAUUUUUCAAUAUAAUAAUAUUACACGCAAAUUCAAAUUUUUUUUUUAAACCACAUAUUCUCCAUCAAUUUACCGUUUCAAAAUGCAUUCUUCUCCAAAAACAGGGCUCAAACAUGUAGUUAAAUAUGACUAAAGCUAUUUUUCUUUUCAUUUUACUGCUCAUUAUUGGAUGUACUAUACCAACAACUUUUUAACAAAUAAUUCUUAUUGUUCUACGGUAGUGAAAUUCCUUAUUACAUAAUUAAGAAUUUGGACGAACGAUUUAGUGAUCGUCUCUUAUUUGGCAUUCAUAUAUCAAAUUGGAGUUGAUCGGUUCGAAAUUUUUAUAUUUAUACAUGCGAAAUAAAUAAUUUAAAAAAAUGAUUUAAUUUGGCAAAAACUAAAAAAAAUCCAAGUCUCCCGAGCAAUUAUGUAAUCAAACCUUUGACUAUUAAUGAUAGGGAAUUGGUAACAAAAAAAGUAGGACUCUAAGCAACCUCUGCAUUCAAAGAUUAAUAAUUGCAUAGUUUCUUGAUAAGUGAUUGAAAUCAAAAUAAUAGAAUGAAAGUGGCAGUGGCUUAGUGCAAAAGGCGUGCUACAGACGCAAAACACAUUAUUUUGUCCUAUGCAUGUCAAAAACACUAAAAUCGUUAGUUAUUGUUGUAUGUGAUAAAGUCGCCGAUGUAUUGAUGAAUCUUUGUUUAGUGUGAAAUUAGGUAUUAGCGUACUCAUGAAUCCAUUAUCAUGAGUUCGUUAAUUAGUCCAUUAUUGUUUGUAAAACUUCUUGGACAUAAGUAGUAGUCGAUGUGUGUGUGUAUAUAUAUAUAUAUAUUUUUUUUUUUUUNNNNNNNNNNNNACACACACACACACACACACACAGAGUAACGAUCUCCUAAGCACCUGCUUAGGUGGCACAAUACAUGGAGGGGUAGUUAUUGUGCCACCUAAGCACAGUGCUUAGUAGAUCAAAUCCGUGCGUGCGUGUGUGUGUGUGUGUGUGUAUAUAUAUAUAUAUAUAUAUAUAUUAGACAAUAUUAAAUCGAAACUUUAAGUGUUUUCCACCUUGAGUUUGAAUUGUCUAAGGUCUCCAAAUAGACAUUCUUCCAUGUUUCCUCCAAUUUGAAUAAUUUACCGUCGCUAUAGUUUUGUCUCUUCCACCUUCUUGGUAACUCCACUUGAAAAACUUUGGUAAACUUUUUCUUAUACGACCACAAUUUUCAAAGCAGAGAAUUACCAUAAUCACAUCAUAAAAAUUAUAUACAUUAGAAUCAACCAAUUCUAAAAAUUUCAAAUUGGAUCAUGUCGAACAACCUUGCUGGAAAUUAUGGUGCAAGCCAUAUGUUUGACUCCUCCAAAAAAUCAUUAGAUAUCAACAUUAAUUUCAUCACACACCCUGCAUGAAUGCCGAAUCAAUGCCUGUUUGCAAUUUUGUGGACCCGCUAACAAUAACACAUCUUCUAUUAUAAUAACUUGAUGGUCAUAUACAUGUUCUAAGUAUGACAAUAUCCUUCUCAAAGAAUAUUCCUGCCUCUCAUGGAGAAAAGAACACACUUCUACAACAUAAUCAUUAUCUUCUUGUACUAAUUUUUAGCAAUUAGUCGAACCUUGUUUACCUUUUUGGACAUUUUUUUCUUAGGGGGUCCAUAUUGUCUAUGUAACAUGGGUUAAUCACUUGUAAAUCGCACAAGCCAAAAUCAAUUCCCCUGUCAAAUUUCUCCACGCCACUAACAUAUAUUUACUAUGCUCCACUCUGCACGAUCUAACUCUCUAAUACCACUUGAAAAUUAAGACCAAGUCCUUGAUUUAUCCACAUGAUUAUUGUUUAAAGGCUUUAUUGAGAAGCCAGUUAAUAAUAUAUGAGAAUACAACACAAAAGAUUUACAUAGAAAAAUCACAACCUAAAGAAAAAUUAUGGACUGUCAAAGAUAUAUAUAUUCAAAUUAAUAAACGAAAAAUUUGUGCAAUCAUAUAGAAUCCCUCAUAGAAAAUAAACUACCAAGCACACCCAAAAUAUUAACACUGAAUGAGAUAACGAAGGAUCCCCAAAUAUCACUUCCAAGAGAGUCCAUGAUUAUCUUACAAAUUAGGAUCAAUAAACCACUGAAGGAAAGACUCUAAUUAUAGAAACAUAACAGGAGAACUUUCUUAGUUUUUAUUUUGAUGCUUUAGAAGAUGACUUAGAUUUUUCUUAAGAAAAGAGAAAAUUAUCAGGCUCGGUAGGCCGGCCAAGUCGACUCAAUGCAAGCUAAGCUGGUUCGACUUGGCAAAAUUUUUUCAAGAUUAUAAAUUUCAAAUCAUAUUACCUAAAAGUAGUAUCAUAUCUAAUAUUUGAUAUGUAUUACUAACUUCUUUUUUUUCUUUUUUCCAUUUUUUUUUCGUUGUUGCGGGGCGAGGGGGGAUAAGAAAUUCAAGAAGAAGUACAUCAAAUAAAAUCAUGAUAUUUAUUUGCUUUUUAUAUGAAAAUUCUGNNNNNNNNNNNNNNNNNNNNNNNNNNNNNNNNNNNNNNNNNNNNNNNNNNNNNNNNNNNNNNNNNNNNNNNNNNNNNNNNNNNNNNNNNNNNNNNNNNNNNNNNNNNNNNNNNNNNNNNNNNNNNNNNNNNNNNNNNNNNNNNNNNNNNNNNNNNNNNNNNNNNNNNNNNNNNNNNNNNNNNNNNNNNNNNNNNNNNNNNNNNNNNNNNNNNNNNNNNNNNNNNNNNNNNNNNNNNNNNNNNNNNNNNNNNNNNNNNNNNNNNNNNNNNNNNNNNNNNNNNNNNNNNNNNNNNNNNNNNNNNNNNNNNNNNNNNNNNNNNNNNNNNNNNNNNNNNNNNNNNNNNNNNNNNNNNNNNNNNNNNNNNNNNNNNNNNNNNNNNNNNNNNNNNNNNNNNNNNNNNNNNNNNNNNNNNNNNNNNNNNNNNNNNNNNNNNNNNNNNNNNNNNNNNNNNNNNNNNNNNNNNNNNNNNNNNNNNNNNNNNNNNNNNNNNNNNNNNNNNNNNNNNNNNNNNNNNNNNNNNNNNNNNNNNNNNNNNNNNNNGGGGCGAGGGGGGAUAAGAAAUUCAAGAAGAAGUACAUCAAAUAAAAUCAUGAUAUUUAUUUGCUUUUUAUAUGAAAAUUCUGAAAGGCCAUCUCAAGUCAAAACUGUCAUUCUCCUGUCACUAGUCUGAGCUAACUUCACCUAACCAAUUAUAUUAUACAUUAUGACAUUUCUCAUGAUCCUACAUUUCCGUACCAAAUAAGCAAGCCUUUUUCUUUUAAAAGACACAUUCCCAUUUAAGUUAUUAGGCAAAUUGAUGCCUAUGACAAGGUGUUUCAACAUGGGAUCCAUCCAACGAUUUUUACUCCUCCCUUUCUACUAGAAAAACUCCUACAUUGUUUCAUUUAAAGAUAAUACAAGUUCAUGCUCUCAACAUACAAAUUUUACAAUCUCUCUUUACUCUCUAUAAUUAUUCAUUUUUUUUUAAAUUUAAGUGGCUCAUGUCUUAAACAUAUGCCACACUCAAAUACAUACCCUGAUGUAAAUUGACUUAAUCGUCGAAGUACUCACAGCCGCCUCUACCACUGCGGAGAUUGACCACAUACUUUAAUGAUUUGUCCUAGUUGCAAGACUAAAAGUUUACGUCGACUCCAGAGGACCCAAAUAUGUUGGCCACAUCUCCCCUGAAAAAAUAUGAGGUCAAGAAAUUAUAUAUAAACACAAAAUUAAAAAAAUGAUAAUUGGAGUUUGUUAAGCAAAAUACAAUAGGUCACAUGCUGUCUACCGUUCGUAAAAUAAAUAAUUAAAUGGAAAGGAAAAUAACCAAGGAAAAGAGGCUCACUUAAUUGACAUCUAAACGUGAGGAAUGAUUACUUCGCUGAUUAUGCUGCUUAUAGAUUCAUUAAUAAAAAAGUUUAUGAUAAGUCUGAAUAUUUGAAUUAAAUUUAUUAUUUAUCAAUUGAUUGAUGUAUAAUAUCAUUGAUGUUUAACAUAAAUUUGAGCGCAAGUGCUUAUUAAAUCAUUUUCACUCUAAACUUUUAUUUUUACUAAUUUAUAACUAAUUUGGAUAAAUCAUUUUUAUACCACGUUGUAGGCUAGCGAGGGAGGUUACAAAUUCUAUCUCCCCAUGAUCAAUUAAUUUGAAAGUUUGACAUAAUCAAGCAUGUAGAAAUAGAUAAAAAUAAUCUAACAAACUUUUAUCUAUGUAAUUUUUUCACUAACGAUCAUCCCUUAACUAAUUUAUGUAGAAAGGAUAUAUAUAAUUUUUCUAAAUGUGUAACAUGUUCAUUCAUUAGUAUGUCAGAUUCUUAAACCUUUAACACGUGAUAAUUUUUUAUAAAUACAUUGUCGAGAUGUUUAUACUUCUAUAUUUUAUCUAAACUUAAUGACAAUAUUUCUUCAGAGAUAACAACGGAUUUAACUAGGUCCUAGGAGACAAGUCUCAUUGAGGAGUUUUAAGAGACGAAGUGGGAUUAAAAUAUCUUCCUUUAUCAUAAUGUUUUUUAAUUAAUUAUAUUUAUAAAUAUGAUUCAAAUUGUAUUUAAUAAAAAUAAAAAGGAGUGGUACGGAUCGCUAAUAAAUAACUUUUAUUUUGUUUUAGUUUUGGCUAACUUCUAUCAGCAAAUUAUACUGAGGCAUCGUUUGGUACACAUUAAUGUAAAAAUGAAAAUGAAAAAUAUAGUCAUUAUGAAUCCCAUACAAGGGAUAGAAAUUCAAAUUUGAUAAUUUGAUAUAAUGGAUAAUGAUCAUAUUUUUCAUUUUAAUGAAGAAAAAAUGAAAAACAAAUGGGCUGAAGAUGAUGACAUUUCUCAUUUUUCUUGUACAAAAUGCAAUCGCAAGUUAGGCAAAUUCUCGAAUUUGGGAUAAAAAAAUGUCAAAACCAAACAGACCCACCCGAUUGCGGGCCGAUUUUUUGUACAAAUAUGGAGUAAGCAUAUUCCUUGCGGGACCCACAAUGGAACAUUCUCUUUUGGGUGCCAUGGUAAUCAGAAGGCAAAUCCGCCACGUUGGAAAAUAUGCCAGCGUGUAAACUAUCUUGCCAUCUGGAUCUAUUAUGUUAUAGUUCUUGUUUAGUGGAGAUUAAAAUUAAAUUCUUAAUAGAUUUUGAUAAAAAUUGUUGAAAUAUUUUGUCAAAAAAUUGUGGAUCCCAUAAAAUUUAUAUUUAAAAUUAGUUGUUGACUUUGACACUUACAUUCUUUUUGUUUUCAAAAUAUGGGUGGACGAGCAAAUUAGUUUUUUUUUUUUUAAUUGACGAAGCAAAUUGUCAAACUUGGUGUACACCACCAAGCAUGAUUGUUAUAUAUAAUCGUACGCAAAAAUAUAUUUUUGAUCCCAAAACUUCUUAUAAUGCUAAAACUAUAACAAAUUAUUAAAAAUAACGAAAUAAGUUUAACGAUAUAUACAUAUAAUUCAAAACGAAUAAAUUUCGACUUCAUGCUAUGCUAUGUCGAUAAUUUUGGUCUAGAAUAUACCUCGAAUAUAUAAUAAUUUCUUUAAUACACCCUAUUGUUAACUUUUAUUAAACUUGAAAACACAUUUUUUUAUUUUUUUAUUAUUUUUUUAUUUUUAUUUUUUUUUGGAGAUAAUUGGAGUUUGGUGUAAGCAAAAUAAAAUAGAACACAGGCUGUCUUCUGUUUAAUCGACAGCUGGUUUGGUCACUAUGGACAGCUUUCUGCUUGGAAUUCCGAGAUUGUAAACCACAUCAACUUUAUCUCCCAACUUUGUAUACUAAUCAAAUAAUUACUAUUUAAAAAUAAUUUAGCUUUUACUUUUUAAAAAUAUUGAAAAGUAAUUGAUUUAUAUUUUUUGAAAAUAAAAAUGUUUACAACAGAGUGAUGUCCUACUCAAUUCAGCUAAUAUUCAAUCCCUUUUUAGAUUAUUUUUUUUNUUUUUUUUAUAUUUCUCCCUCAAUUUUUAGUACAACUAAAUUUUGUUCAGAAGUACAUAUUGUUGAAGUUGUCCCGCAUCGAUUAUGGAUGAGGUUGAUAUUUAGUUCACUAGUGUGAGGAAAAGUUUCACAUCUUAAACUAGCUUUUAAGGUUGAAAAGACACAAUACCAUCCAACACGGGUAUCAGAAUUUGAUUUAUCAACAAGUCUCCGAUCCAAAAGUCACGAAGAUACGGGUUUAUGUGAAAGGAAACGGAUUUGAUCUCCUGCAGGCCCUGUUGUGUGAGGGGGAGAUGAGUUUGGUCUAUCGCAGGGCCCGAUAUGUGAUGGGAGACUUGUUUUGUCUCCCACAAAGCCCGAUGUAUACGUGGGAGAUUGUUGAAGUUGUCUCACAUCGAUUGUAGAUAAAAUUGAUAUAUAGUUUAUAAGUGUAAAGGAAAAAGUCGUUCAGGAUUGAGAAAGCUCAAUACCGCCCUACACAUAUUUUAGUGUUAAUUGUCGUGUUCCUAUGUAUUUUCAAAUGUAAAUCUUACUUAAUUUAUAAUCAAUUGAUAUAAGAAGUAUUAUUAACUGCAGUGUUUCAAUAUUUAUUAAGAACUUAAUGAUAAGAUCCACUCGUUCAUCAAAUGACAUAAGGAAGAAGAAAAAAAAAGUGGAAAUUGGUGAAAUGAACAUUGAAAGUUUCUUAAGAAAAUACCAAAUCUUGAUGCAAUAGACCAUUAAUAAUCUCUAUAAUCUUCGUUUAAUAGUAUUCACAAAUAAUAUACAAUAUUUCUUCAAAUUUGUAAUAUUAAAAUCAUUUGAUAAUAAAGAUGACAGUGUUAAUGGACACUCAAGUUAUCAAUUGUUAAAGUAAUAAUUAUCUAUAAAUUGAUUAUUAAAAAUAACUUUCAAUUAUUAGAUGUGAACAUAAGUUGUGUAUAUCUUCUUCGUAUCAUAUUGCCUUUUUUUUUUUUUUCUCUAAUAUAAUUUAACUCCAUAAAUUUCAAACAACAAUAGUAACAAAACAAGUAUAAUUUAACGGAGAAAUCUUCUUGAAUAGGAACCUACCCGAAUGUAGAUAAUUGACCAAUAAGGGGCCGCCUUGUCGACACCUAAUUGGACAAGCCCUGUCCAUAUAGCAUCUCUCUAAUUUAGCUCAUCUAAAAUUUUCUACUCAAUAUGGUUUUAGCUUUCUUAAUCGCUCUCUAGUAUCGGCCCCUAAUUGGACAGACCCUGUCCAUAUAGCAUCUCUCUAAUUUAGCUCUCUCCUCAAUAUGGUUUUAGCUUUCUUAAUCCCUCUCUAGUACCGUUCGAAGCCACCAAUUUGAUGCACGUAACAAGUUUGAAAGUGAAAAAAUUUGGCCUUUAGUUCCCCUUAAGACAAAAUCACUAUAAAUAUCCCCAAGCAUUUCUUACGAAACCUUGAACUACACGAGAGAGAGCGAGAGAAACGGCAUAACUGGUUCCCACCGUCCGCACUUUCUCGCUCUAUACCCUCUCUCCAGAGCUUCCAAACGAAGUUUAUAGCAUCGUACUACCUCUAAAGGGCUCUGACUGUGUUUUUUUUGUGUGUUAAAUGGCUGUGACAAAGAGCAACAGGAAGAAACACCAGAGUUAUAUUUCAGUGUCUUCUCAAAUUAUCAGCUCAAUCUCACAAUCUUCACUCGAGUGUUUGCUAGAAUCUCCCAAGAAAAAGCACAUUUCUUCCUUAAAGCUAAGGCCUUUCUUGAAGAAUCCAAGAUUCUGGGUUUUCUUGAUGUUUGUGCUCUGUUUUCUCUGUAUGUUGAAGAUGUGGUUCCACUUUGAGCCAGUAACGCCUCUGACACAGAACAUAUAUUUUACUCCUCAAGAAAAGACAAUAUUAUCAACUGGGCUCUCAAGUUCUCAGCUGAAUCUUGUGGAAAUUGAAGAAACAGAUAAUAAAAUUGAGUUUUGGAAACAGCCUGAGGGGAUGGGGUAUAGGCCUUGUUUGGAUUUCAGUGUAAAAUAUGGAGAGGAAACUGAUGAAAUUAUGAAGGAUCGGACCAAGUAUUUAAUGGUGGUGGUUGCUGGUGGACUGAAUCAGCAGAGGAAUCAAAUUGUUGAUGCUGUGGUGAUUGCAAGAAUUCUUGGAGCUUCUCUGGUUGUUCCUAUUUUGCAAGUCAAUGUCAUAUGGGGCGAUGAAAGGUUCUUUCUUUUGACCAUUUCUUGAUUUUUCAGCCAUGCAUAUACAAUCUUUAUUCAAUUUGACCAUGUCGUAUAAUGGUUAUUUAAUCUUUCCACUCAAGUAAACUAAGUCAUUUUGGUACAUUUUAAUCAAUGAAAAAUUUCUGGUUUUCACUGAAAAUGGUUGAGUUCUUGAUAUCGUGGAGGAAAUUGAUAAGUUGUUCUGUUACUCUUGUGAUUGUUGCAGUGAAUUUUCUGAUAUUUUCGAUUUGGAUCAGUUCAAGAAUGUUUUGGCUAAUGAUGUUCGAAUAGUUUCAUCACUUCCCUCAACACAUCUGAUGACAAGGCAUACAAGGGAAAAGACGACUCCUCUUCAUGUUUCUCCUGAAUGGAUUCGCUCACGCUACCUUAAACGGGUAAGAAUUUACAUUGACAUGCCUAGUGUUUUCGAGUGCUUGUUACUUAAGCAGAAUGGUAAGGAUUAAAAUAUAUUGAAAUGAACUGGAUGCUUCAUUGGUAGCUAAUUUCAAUACAUGAUCAAUGACAUCAAUGUCUAUCUGCUUAUGACCUCCCAAUCCGAUUGGAUUGGUCAUCAAAACCUUGAAAUUAUUGGUGAACAUCUAAAGUAGUUGUCUGGUAGAUUGUUAUUUCAUAGUUGAACUUUAUCUAUUGACGUCUCAAAAUUAUUGACAAAUUCAAGUGAGUGACGUAUUUGAACAGCUUUUUUUUUUUGUCGUCUGCCUGUUUUACUUUCAUUUUGAUAUUUUGAAGUAUUUUGUAGUUGAAGAAUUUGAUUUGUAUGUCUUUUUUGGAACCCUGCAGCUUAAAAGGGAUGGUGUAUUACUUUUACGUGGCCUUGAUUCCAGGCUUUCCAAGGAUCUUCCUUCCGAUCUUCAAAAGCUUCGCUGCAAGGUAGUUGGUGUACUCUUCUUGGUGCAAUUGACAUAGAGAGCUGUUACCCCUACAAACUUUGGAAUUUAUCCUUGGCUAUUUUCUUGAAAUUUAGAGUUCGUUAAUCGAGUUCUCUUUCAAAUUGUAGGUGGCUUUUCACGCAUUAAGAUUUGCCCCACAUAUCUCAGAACUUGGGAACAAACUUACUGAGAGGAUGAGAAGGAAGGGACCAUAUCUGGCUCUUCAUCUGCGUAUGGAGAAGGAUGUAUGGGUGAGAACAGGGUGUCUUCCUGGUCUAAGCCAAGAGUACGAUGUCAUGAUAAAUAAUGAGAGGAAGUCACGGCCGAAGCUCUUGACUUCAAGAAAUAACAUGACCUACCACGAUAGAAAACUUGCAGGCCUCUGCCCCUUAAAUGCCUUGGAGGUCACACGGUAAGCUUUUGAAUUGCGAAAAUCUCAUUAAUGGAACUAGUAGGAUAGGACGACUCCGUCUGAGUGAUAUGUCUUCUGCGUUUAGAUUGCUGAAAUCAUUGGGAGCACCAAAAAGUACAAGAAUUUAUUGGGCCGGAGGGAUUCCAUUGGGUGGAAAAGAGACCUUGCAACCUUUGACUAGAGAAUUUCCUCAUUUCUAUAACAAGGAAGACCUUGCCUUGCCUGGGGAGCUUGAACCAUUUGAAAAGAAAGCUUCAUUAAUGGCUGCUAUCGAUCAUAUAAUUUCUGAGAAUAGCAAUGUAUUUAUGGCGUCUCAUGGUGGAAAUAUGGGCCAUGCAAUUCAGGUAUCGCAUCCGUCAUCUAGCAAAAGAUCACUUCUUAUCAACUCAUUAUCGUUUAUUUUGCAUUGGUCGAAUUUAACUUGUGAAACAGGGGCAGAGGGCCUAUGCAGGGCACAAAAAGACCAUCACACCUAACAAAAGACAGAUGAUACGAUACUUUAUGAAUUCUUCUCUCCCUGAAGCGGAAUUCAACAAAAUUAUAAUGGAUUUGCACAGAGAUUCCUUGGGGCAGCCAGAACUUAGGACAAGCAAAGUACGAAGGGACGUGACGAAAUAUCCUGUCCCAGAGUGCAUGUGCAAUAAUUCAGUGACACAUUCCUCUUUCUAACUUCUCAUGGUAUCACUUGUCAUGGCACUGAUCCUGGCAUCAUUUUUGAUGAAUAAAGGUCAUCAAGAAAGCUCCAAACAGGAUGUAUUUUACGAAUUCAUUAGGGCUAAGCCUUUACAUUUCUACACAAGCGCAUAUUCUUAGAGGUGCACUGCCAUUUGUGAAAGCAGGGAUUUCACUCCCAGCCCCAGGCCACAUAGAAAGAAUGCACAUAUUUGCUUAUCUUGGUUCAUUUGUACAACCAGCACCAGGAAGAGAACUACUAUGCUUAUGGUAUAGAUUAACAGAAUACUCCGGCCUGUUUAUGAGACGCCUCGAGUAGUUAUUCAGGAAAUGAAUAUGUAAUUUUUUAUUUAAUUGAUUAUUAGCUAUAUCUAUGUACAAUGUCAUUAAUGAUAUAUACACACGUACAGAUUCCUUUGAUGAAGUUUGUUCUAAUUUCUUGAUUCAUUUCACAGUUAAGGUUACUUGAUUCAUUUCACAAUUAUGUGUAUUUUUGCAUGUUACUUGAACUUGAAACCUCAUUUUUCAGUCAUUUAUUAGUUGAGAAAUAUGAACAACUCUCUCUAAGGAAUUCGGCAAUAUAGCCUCGUAACUUUGGGAGAAGGGGUGCCUCCUCGCAAAGGGGGUUGCAGUGACCACACCCUUUUUAGUGCGAUUAUAUAAGCAAAUGGCUGAACCAAAUAUGUUAUUGAUAUGAGAGUUUGUACAAGUACAAGAGGAAUGUUCAUAUAAAGUUAUAGAAAAGCUAAGGUACAAAAUGUUCAUUUUGCGACGGAAAUGUAGAACAUUAUGCAAGUCCCCUAACUUCAGAAUAUGAGUACUAUGAGCAAUUAUAGUAUGUUCGUCGUUGAUGCUACGAAAUCCGUCAUUUCAAACCGCGAGUUUGACUCUUUUCUUUUAAAACUACAAUGUCCUUCGUGAGUACUUGUUUUUGAGAAUACAAUGACCACGUCCUAUAAUAGGAGCAUUCCCAAUUACAUAGACUAGAAAACUGACUAACGUUUUGAACUCUCUUCAUAUGAAACUCAACUCAAAAUAAAUUAAAAAUAUAUAUUUUUUGAAGUGACUAUAGCAUAAUGUAGGGAUGAAGUGAAUGAUUAAAGUUUCAAUCAUCUGGUCUAUUUAUGAUAAAUAACAAGUAGUGUCUCAAAUGGUACCAUCCGAUGAAAAUCCAUGAUCGUGAGAGAGAAUUUUUAUUGAUAGCUUAUGAUUCGUUAUUGUUGAUGAGUUUUCUUAUCGAAGUGAAAUCUAUUUAGGAAAAAAGUGUAAAUAAUUAAAUUGGUUGCACCUAACAUUAUUAUUAGUGGGUUAGAUCACCUAAAUCUUAUUUAAAGAGAAAAAAAUUUGUGGUUUAAAAAAAAAAAAAGAAAAAAAAGAAAAAGAAAAAUCCUUUAUAUUGACACUACAACUAAUAAAUUGACCUGAAUGUAGUCUUAUAUAAGGAGGGUAGGUAUCCGACUAUUUAUGUUAUCAGCAUGAUUUACAAUCAUUAAAGAAACUACGAAUCCUAAGAAAGCAAAACUUAAUUACUUAUUUUAUUUAUAUUUCAAAAAUAAUCUGCCUCUUCACAAAUGAUAUAUGAACCUAAAACUUUGAUAUGCUCUAAUAUAAUGUAGAAUAUUCCUGUCUCAAAUCGUAGGAUAUUCAAGAAGAAUAUACGAUUAAUAGACAACCUAAUUACUCAUGACAAACAAAAAUUUAAAUGAACUUGGAAAAACGUGAAAUCAGUUCAAUCUUGUGAUUUGGGUUAGUUCGAGUACUUCCUUUCUUUCUUUUAUAUGCUAAGCAAAAAAAAAAAAAAAAUCAUAUUUUCAAUAGAUUUUGAGAAAAAUUGAUGAAAUUUGUGAUUGAAAAGUAUAUAAAAGUUGUGAAUCCAAACAAAAUGUAUAAUUAAAAAUAAGCUGCUCUUUCACUCCUCCCUCGGCUGCCUCUCUUGCAACAAUACACACCCACACAGAGAAAACACGCGGCUUGUGUGUAUAUAGGCAUUAGGUUUAAUUUUGGGCCAACACUUACUCAUAAUAGGCCAAGAUAAAGGGCUAUACAUUAACCAAUCUACCAACCCAACUCAAACGUAGGCCCUCCAAAGGUGCAUUAAUUGUUUCCGAGUCGAACCGUCACUUUGGUGUUGAUAAAAAAUCCGACAAAUGUUUUAAAUCGUCGCCUGGAUUUAUUGGGUAUCAAAAACCAACAAAGACCAAACAAGUGUUCAAUACUAAUAUGUGAUUUAUAACUUCGUGUUUCAUAUUUGUUGCUCAGAGACAACCCUUUGUUCCUGCUUAACUUACAACCUAUUGUGGAUCUGUAAAUAGCUAGCCAUCCAUAAAUUCCCUUGCUUCUAGUACUUUUCAAGUCAAGUUGUUAAUUCUUGAUCUUUUGAUUCAAAGACCGGGUAAAGUAAGAGAGCAUAAUAUCUUCAUGACCCCCAAUCUUAAACUGUCGUUCAUCUUGAGCAAGAUUAUCUACUCAAAUGCACAAUUAAAUUAAAAGAGAAGCAAUUCAUGAAAUAGAUAGCUUGUUGUGUUUGCUUUUAUGUUUUGAAACUGUUCAAACAAUUCAUAAAAGACUUCUAAUCAUGCAACCAAAAUAAUUGUUUCACUUAUCUGACAAGGUUUGAUAUGGGUUCAUAGCUAAUCCAAUUAUUUUAAACCUUUAAAUUGGAUAUAUUCUGACCUUCAAUGGUCAAUUAUUUCAUUUUUUGUCCCAUAAGAGCACUCUCAAACUUGAUAUUCAAUCUCUCAGUAGGUCUAGGGAUAUUUAUUCUAAAAACACCACCAUAUAUUAAUAUGAAAUACUGAAAAACCAAAAUAGGAUCGAUUGUCAAUAGGUAGUAAUUGAAUUUCUAUAAUAUGAAUUUAAUCUAACUAAAUACAGAUAUUGAAUACAUUGCCAUUGGUGCAUUAUUUAAACCUCUUGCAAUCAACAGACUCUAGUACCUCCAAGUAUUCAUCAAUGAUCUUCAAAAAUGCAAAGAAUACUAUACUUUUUCUCUUUUAUCUUCAUUUUUCUAGUUUGUGGACAAUUUCGUUAAUAUGUAUAGAAAUCAUAUUAUUAUAUAUGCAGCUAAUAUGUAAUAAAACUAAAUUGAAAUAGAAAAUGGUGUUUCAAUUUUAUGUUAAAACUAAAAAUUAAUAGGUUUUAAUUUUGAAAAGUUGAAACUUAUUUCAAGUUACAACAAUUCACCACAUUUAUAUUAGAAGUUAUAAUAUGUAUGUUACACUAUAAUAUUAUUAAUUUAAUUUUGUAUUAAAUUGAAAUUAAAAUAGAAACAACAAAUUAAUAAUUUGAAAAUUUAAAACUUAAAUUAUUUAUUUUCCAACAAUUCACCGUUAACAAUUCGCUUACGUCAAUUGUUAAAAUAAGUAAAAAUGACUAUUUUGAUUAAUCGAUUAUUUUUUUAAUUAUUCAUAUAUAAUAUCACAAGCACCAGUUUCAUUUUUUUUUCAAUUACUAGUUUAACAAUCUUAUUUUUAGACUGGUGAGCUAGGAUUAAAUUGCUCUACAAAUAUAUACUCUAUAAAAUAUGUGACAGAUUCCACAUUACGAAAAUAUGUUAGUUAAUUACUUCAUUCUAAUUCUCAAAAUAACGAGCUAUUGAUUAUAUAAUUAAAGUUUCUAGUCCAUUCAGGAUUUAGACGUAUGUUCGAUUGUCAAUUACAUUUAGUUCUAUAUGAUCAUCAAGUAUUAAUUGUUACUUGACCAAGUCCAAUAAUAUUUGUUAUAUUAUAAUCUUUAUUACCAAAGAUCAGAUAAGCUUUAAUAAAGAUGAUACGAACUUAUUAAAAUGCAGUGUCCGACUAUAUUUACUCGCCACAAUCAAUUAUUUCUUGUCACUUUAUAAAUUGAUUCUAUCUGUAUUUGACAACUUAAUAAUUUAAUUUAUAAUAAUAUCCGUGAUCAAAGUACAUUUUAUAAUUUUCUCAUAUUAAUCACAUUUAUAAAAAUAUUCAAAUGACAUAAAUUAUUAUUUAUUCGUUCAAAACAUAAUAUAAAUUAAUGAAUUAGAGCAUAUAUCCAAACAAUUAGAGGAUUUGAAAUUUUUCCUUUUCUUUUUCUCUUCCUUCUUGUUUUAUUUAUUUGUCUUAGCUUUUUUAGAUUGAGGACAAAUUCAUUUUUCACAUCACCUUAAUUUAUAAUUUUUUCCGCCAAAAAUUUCAAUAUAGGGGCGACGAGCUCUUAAAAAUGAAAGGUUGAUGGUCUUAAUAUUAAGACAAGAAGGUUAGGGAAAAACUGCUAAAAAGGUCAAAGUUGAAGAUGGCGCUUGCAAUCUAGCAUUAAAACGAUGGAGAAUUCAGUGAAAAUAAUACUUUUUUUUUUUAAUAAAUUCGCAUGUACGUGUAUUUUAUAACUCGACUCCAACAAAGGGAACUACAGAAAAAUUUAACUCAUUAAAAGAUGGGAAAUACAAGAUAAUUCAAAAUUAAUUGAACAAUCAAAUUUCAAGAGUUUUGUGAUGUACCAGUAAAAGUCUUCAUUUGUGAUAUACCAGUAAAAUUUUUAACUCUCCUAUUAUAUUUGAAUUAUUAUUGAAUUAUAUUAUUUACGUUUAUGUUUAAGAUAGUUAUGUUAAUUGAUAAUUUAUUUACAUACAAAUCGCCAAUUUUUUCCAACACUUGCAAUGAGCGCUUCAAGGCCUCCAUUAUAUCUACAUGUCUAGCACAAGUUAGACUCUUGUCAUAUUCUGUAAGAUUAAUAAUUUACCAUGAUAUUAACACAUAAAAUUUACAAUUAUGUAACGGAUCGAGUUUAAAAUUCCAAAUCAAUUUCCAUUUGCUCAUUACAUUAUCAAAAUUUGCUUCCAUGAUAGUAUUUUGCACAUCUCAAAUAUGCCUUUCGACUAGAAGUACCACUGCUAACGAUGUGCUAGCAGUAACAAUAAGGCAACAAUAAAAUACUAACAUAAUACCAGUCCUCCAAAGUCUAGACUGAUCAUUUAUAUUAGGUUAUGGACUUUAAGAAGAAGUACUGUAGUCCCCAAAUUCAUGUAAAAAAAUUUGUGUUAGGUUAUGGACUUUAAUUUUCUCAUAUGGGUACUGAGGUAGGUACUCAUCAGAUUUUUAGUUCUCCUCGUUUGAUAGGUUUAGUGGUUGUUGUUUUGGUCAAGAUGCUCAACUCUCCUAUCAAAUUAUUUAAACAAUUUGACUGAUAGUUUAGCAACAACGAUUCAUUUAAGAGGUUUAUUUGUAGUUGAUUCGAUCAUUGAAUUUUAUUUUAUUUUUUUGUUAGACAAAUCAAUCAUUGAAUUUUUUUUAUUUUUUUUUUUGUUUCAAUUAUGUCUCUGAAUUUUAUUCUUGCUAUACGUUCGAUCGAUCUUGCAUAAAUUCCUGUUAAAUACAAAGUGGAACUUGUUUACCAAAGACUUUCUGGGAGGCAAUCUCGAUUGAAGCCAAUUCAAAAUUUUCAUACUCAAUCUGUUGGCUAUAAGUCAUGCAAUCCAUGUAUUUAUAGUGCCGUUCUUUAUCAAGGCGUAACUAACAUAUCUUUUAAGUUUAAGACUAUCUGAUUGUUCAGUAAUUAACAAAAACGUUCCUAGAUUAGGUGUAAAUUCGAGAUGGAUGGUAGAUAAAUAAAUAAAUAAAAUAGGAACACUGCAAAAUUGUGUUAGGGAGAGUGUAAAUGAUCACAAAAAAGGACAUUGGUAUAUAAAUUAAACAUUCCAAGGAUCUUGCUGUAGUACAAAAUCAUAAUCUAAAGGAGAAAGCACAAGAUUAAAACUUGACAAUUCAUCUAGAAUUGAUGUGGGAUUUAUCUCUUAAAGAGACCCUCUUGGACAGCCAUUCUUUAAUGUUAGCUGUUUUCUGAGCAGCAGCCGAAGAAAUUACACCCACACAUGCACGAUAAAGUGCCAAAAUAAGAGGAGACUAUAAGCUGAGCAAUAGAUUUAGUUACAAGCGCGAAAGCUGUGAGUUUAUUGGAAAGUAAGAAACUGGAAUCGGAGCGCCUUUUGACUUUACUUUGCUCUUCUGUUUCUCUGCAGAAGGAACUUUCCGAGGUCGGACGAUAGCAUCAGAUAUUUGUGAAGAAGAUGAACUGCUGAAGCAGCUUAAAAACCCUAAAAACGAACCCAUUUUUUAUCUGUUCUUGGCUAUAUGUAUAAGAACUUGUGAGUGGCCACUUAUAUAUAGUUGAAAAUACCUAAGAAACGCGGUGUGGAAUUUUCUUUUUUAUUCGAUGAUGAAAC
rnacentral:lncRNA from 1 species